UGGGGAAUUUUUGACAAUGGGGGAAACCCUGAUCCAGCCAUCCCGCGUGUGCGAUGAAGGCCUUCGGGUUGUAAAGCACUUUUGGCAGGAAAGAAACGUCAUGGGUUAAUACCCCGUGAAACUGACGGUACCUGCAGAAUAAGCACCGGCUAACUACGUGCCAGCAGCCGCGGUAAUACGUAGGGUGCAAGCGUUAAUCGGAAUUACUGGGCGUAAAGCGUUCGCAGGCGGUUCGGAAAGAAAGAUGAGAAAUCCCAGAGCUCAACUUUGGAACUGGAUUUUUAGCUACCGAGCUAGAGUGUGUCGGAGGGAUGUGGAAUUCCGCGUGUAGCAGUGAAAAGCGUAGAUAUGCGGAGGAACACCGAUGGCGAAGGCAGCCUCCUGGGAUAACACUGAAGCUCAUGCACGAAAGCGUGGGGAGCAAACAGG
rnacentral:rRNA from 1 species